CUUAGAAAGGUAAUAAUCUUAUCCUGUACUGCCAUUUCACAAGUUUCUCUCUUUUUUGUUUUUACGAUUCAUGUAUCCAAUUUGGAAUCUCAACUAACAAAUCAUCUACUUUAAUUGCUAAUCAUUCGAUUUUGAUCCUUGUAAUCCCUUGUUAGGAUCAAAAUCAGUCUCUUUAAUCAUGUAUUAGAUUUUAAUCUUGUUUUCUCGAUUGUGGAUGCUAAACUUUGUUUGGAUGUUUAUAUUUCGUGUUUUUGCGGUUGAAUCUGGUCUCGAUUUUACUUUCAUGUGAGUCUAAAAUUUCUCCUUUUCAAUCAGGUGCUUGCCCAAGAGGAAAGAGAAGGAAAUCAGAGCGUUUCGAUUCUCAAAAAUUUGAAGCAAGAUAGAGAAUUUUUUUUGUUCUGUUGAAUAUUGGUGUCUGACUGGUGCUAUAUUCGUAUUCAAAGAGAAUCGAUCGUGAUGGCGUCAGCUCUGAUCUCGAAUCAUCCCGUAACCAACUCUAACUCUGAUCGCUCGAAAAGGAAAAAGAAGAAGAAAUCGCAAGCUCAAUCCCAGGAGAGUCAAAAUCAAGGCCAUGCUAAAUGGAAAACCGAAGCUCAGCGACAAAUCUACUGCUCUAAACUCAUCCAAGCCUUGAGCCAAGUCCGCCUCAACCCAUCUUCUCCUUCGGCUCCGCGCCAAGGCCGCGCCGUUAGAGAAGCCGCUGACAGAGCCCUGGCCGUCUCUGCUAAGGGGAGAACAAGGUGGAGCCGAGCCAUAUUGACUAGCCGAAUCAAGCUCAAGUUCAGGAAGCAACACAAGAGGCAGAGAGUGGUGGCUGCGGCUACUGCCUCGAUGGCAACCGGGACUAGCAGGUCGAAGAAGCCGAGAGUCAGUGUUUUGAGGUU
rnacentral:misc_RNA from 1 species